rnacentral:misc_RNA from 1 species
UUAUUGCUUCCUCUUCUAUCGUGGGCCACUCUGUCCGGUGACGCAAUUCCCCUAACGCCGCCGUUGCCGUGUCCUCUCAUCGGCCCUGCCGUCUCCGAGUUCCUGAGAAUGCGGUGGUGAGGAGGGGGGAGUUGAGGGGAUGAGGGUCGUUGGCGGAGAUUCAAAUACCCAUUGUUGAUAUUAUUGUGAUUUGCAGGAGAAUUGGUCCGGUUGGGGGAGUCUUUAUCGGUUCUAACAACUCGGCGGUCGA